CACAGAGCAAUCUGUGUGACUGCGUACCUUUUGUAUAAUGGGUCAGCGACUUAUAUUCUGUAGCAAGGUUAACCGAAUAGGGGAGCCGAAGGGAAACCGAGUCUUAACUGGGCGUUAAGUUGCAGGGUAUAGACCCGAAACCCGGUGAUCUAGCCAUGGGCAGGUUGAAGGUUGGGUAACACUAACUGGAGGACCGAACCGACUAAUGUUGAAAAAUUAGCGGAUGACUUGUGGCUGGGGGUGAAAGGCCAAUCAAACCGGGAGAUAGCUGGUUCUCCCCGAAAGCUAUUUAGGUAGCGCCUCGUGAAUUCAUCUCCGGGGGUAGAGCACUGUUUCGGCAAGGGGGUCAUCCCGACUUACCAACCCGAUGCAAACUGCGAAUACCGGAGAAUGUUAUCACGGGAGACACACGGCGGGUGCUAACGUCCGUCGUGAAGAGGGAAACAACCCAGACCGCCAGCUAAGGUCCCAAAGUCAUGGUUAAGUGGGAAACGAUGUGGGAAGGCCCAGACAGCCAGGAUGUUGGCUUAGAAGCAGCCAUCAUUUAAAGAAAGCGUAAUAGCUCACUGGUCGAGUCGGCCUGCGCGGAAGAUGUAACGGGGCUAAACCAUGCACCGAAGCUGCGGCAGCGACGCUGAUGCGUUGUUGGGUAGGGGAGCGUUCUGUAAGCCUGUGAAGGUGUGCUGUGAGGCAUGCUGGAGGUAUCAGAAGUGCGAAUGCUGACAUAAGUAACGAUAAAGCGGGUGAAAAGCCCGCUCGCCGGAAGACCAAGGGUUCCUGUCCAACGUUAAUCGGGGCAGGGUGAGUCGACCCCUAAGGCGAGGCCGAAAGGCGUAGUCGAUGGGAAACAGGUUAAUAUUCCUGUACUUGGUGUUACUGCGAAGGGGGGACGGAGAAGGCUAUGUUGGCCGGGCGACGGUUGUCCCGGUUUAAGCGUGUAGGCUGGUUUUCCAGGCAAAUCCGGAAAACUAAGGCUGAGGCGUGAUGACGAGGCACUACGGUGCUGAAGCAACAAAUGCCCUGCUUCCAGGAAAAGCCUCUAAGCAUCAGGUAACAUCAAAUCGUACCCCAAACCGACACAGGUGGUCAGGUAGAGAAUACCAAGGCGCUUGAGAGAACUCGGGUGAAGGAACUAGGCAAAAUGGUGCCGUAACUUCGGGAGAAGGCACGCUGAUAUGUAGGUGAAGUCCCUCGCGGAUGGAGCUGAAAUCAGUCGAAGAUACCAGCUGGCUGCAACUGUUUAUUAAAAACACAGCACUGUGCAAACACGAAAGUGGACGUAUACGGUGUGACGCCUGCCCGGUGCCGGAAGGUUAAUUGAUGGGGUCAGCGCAAGCGAAGCUCUUGAUCGAAGCCCCGGUAAACGGCGGCCGUAACUAUAACGGUCCUAAGGUAGCGAAAUUCCUUGUCGGGUAAGUUCCGACCUGCACGAAUGGCGUAAUGAUGGCCAGGCUGUCUCCACCCGAGACUCAGUGAAAUUGAACUCGCUGUGAAGAUGCAGUGUACCCGCGGCAAGACGGAAAGACCCCGUGAACCUUUACUAUAGCUUGACACUGAACAUUGAGCCUUGAUGUGUAGGAUAGGUGGGAGGCUUUGAAGUGUGGACGCCAGUCUGCAUGGAGCCGACCUUGAAAUACCACCCUUUAAUGUUUGAUGUUCUAACGUUGACCCGUAAUCCGGGUUGCGGACAGUGUCUGGUGGGUAGUUUGACUGGGGCGGUCUCCUCCUAAAGAGUAACGGAGGAGCACGAAGGUUGGCUAAUCCUGGUCGGACAUCAGGAGGUUAGUGCAAUGGCAUAAGCCAGCUUGACUGCGAGCGUGACGGCGCGAGCAGGUGCGAAAGCAGGUCAUAGUGAUCCGGUGGUUCUGAAUGGAAGGGCCAUCGCUCAACGGAUAAAAGGUACUCCGGGGAUAACAGGCUGAUACCGCCCAAGAGUUCAUAUCGACGGCGGUGUUUGGCACCUCGAUGUCGGCUCAUCACAUCCUGGGGCUGAAGUAGGUCCCAAGGGUAUGGCUGUUCGCCAUUUAAAGUGGUACGCGAGCUGGGUUUAGAACGUCGUGAGACAGUUCGGUCCCUAUCUGCCGUGGGCGCUGGAGAACUGAGGGGGGCUGCUCCUAGUACGAGAGGACCGGAGUGGACGCAUCACUGGUGUUCGGGUUGUCAUGCCAAUGGCACUGCCCGGUAGCUAAAUGCGGAAGAGAUAAGUGCUGAAAGCAUCUAAGCACGAAACUUGCCCCGAGAUGAGUUCUCCCUGACUCCUUGAGAGUCCUGAAGGAACGUUGAAG
rnacentral:rRNA from 1 species